rnacentral:lncRNA from 1 species
GAGGAACCAAGCCACUGAGAUGAUAAGAGAGAGCCCCUGUCAUCACCAGGAACGAGGGCUCGGACACAGCUGAGCUCACACUCCUCAGAAAAAGGUGUGGCCUUUCGGACUCCUUUGGCGGGGGGUGGCACGCGGUGUCGACCGAAAAGCACAUUUUCUCUCACCUGCCCUUUACCCGUCUUGUAACACAUUUGUCCAAGAAGGAAACGAGGAGAGGCUUGAACACAGCAAAUUCUGUCUCCUCUGCCUGUAAUUGUCUCUUUAGUACAAAAAGAAAAGGCGAUAAGACAUGAUUACACAAACACCCCACAUUCCCUGUCCCCAUCAGAGCAGUGGUCACACUGCACAUUGCAAUGAGCAAACACAACACUGGCUACGUAAACGGAGAGGGAAAAUGCUUCACGGGUCAGCUUCGGUGUGGUGGCUGGGGGCCCCUCUGAUCCCGGGAGGGGAGGUGUUUCUGAGUGGAGCAGAGACGAGGGCUGGGGGAGAGCAAUGACAUGAAUUUAUGUCCUCGUUGCAGAGUAUUCCUUUCAUUCUGUCCAGUUUAGGGUCAGGGGUCCAGCUGUAAACUUGCACACGUGCCUGGAAGGUGCCAUGAGUUCACAAAUGGUGAUGCUCAUCCCGUUAUAUUCGACAUUCAGUUGCUUAAGUUUCCUAAAGGGACAUGCUGGGGGUCAGGGCCUCGCCACUUUACAGGAUGUGGUCAGUCCCCUGCGUGGCCAUUUCCGGUGUGUCCUCAGGGUGGGGCAUGGUCAGUCCCCUGCGCGGCGGUGUCUUGUGUGAUACUCUGUCGGGAUGGUCGUGGUCAGUCCCCUGCAUGGCCAUGGCGAGAAGCAGGUGGUGGUGGCCUUUGUGUGUAGGAACUGGGUUUGCUGUUUUGAAUGGAAGCCUAUGUCUGGAGAUAAAACACUUGUGAAGAAGUUGGAAGUGGGAGCUUUGCUGACCUGAAGCCAGGCGGUUGGAGGUGCUUUGCUAGCCUGCUGAGUCCUGCCUGGACUUUUCAUUCUGUACCCUGAUGGCCUGAUGUUAGGGACAGGUCCCUCCCAAAAUUGCAAAGAACGUUUACAGGCCAUGCCUCCCCAAGGCUGAGGUGAACCGGGGAUUUAAACACACCUUGAUUGACAGUCUGCUGAAAAAUAGAGGAGUUUACAGUCAGAGGGUUUCUCCAACAGCACUGAGGAUGCAGUGCCCGGAGCACAGUGGACAUGCCCCCCUGGUCAGCGUGGCUCUGUGCUGCCCUGCUCUCUAGGGAUUCCAGACUCUGGUCUGCUUACUAAAUCAGGUCAAAAUCCUGGAGACCAUCACCAUGAUGAAAAAGACGGCUAUUGUGCUCAGGGGCACUUUGCUGAGAGCCCUUCCAGAAGCCUGGGUCCAGUUAGAGAUCAGACAGGCGUCAACAGCACUUUGGGGGAAAAGCCUACACACAUAAUUACUGAACAGAACCGCAAACCAGCAGCUCGAGAGAUGCCUUGUCCUCUCUCCGGUGGGGCAGCCUGGAUUUCUCUUUCUAAAUUUUUUUUUUAAUUGUUAUUUCCCCAAUACAAUUUUUUUUCUUCUGUACAGCAUGGUAACCCAGUCACACAUACAUGUACACAUCCUAUUAUCAUGCUCCAUCGUAAGUGACUAGACAGAGUUCCCAGUGCUACACAGCAGGAUCUUAUUGCUAAUCCAUUCCAAAGGCAAUAAUUUGCAUCUGUUAACCCCAAGCUCCCAAUCCAUCCCACUCCCUCCUCGUCCCUGUAGGCAACCACAAGUCUAUAGUUACCUGGCAAGGGAAGCACCAUGAUGGAUUUCUAAAGAUAUGUAAGCUCAUGUCUUUGGGAGUCCGUGUCCAGGGCUGGUGGUGUCCAGGCUAAGAAGGUGUGUGCCUGGGAAGGUGUGAAAAGCCUAAGUCCCAGCAGACCAUCGUGAGUGUGCCGGGGUCACUGUUUCUUGUGGACAAACGUGGGUGGGUUUGUCUUCUUAUCCACUCUGACUGUCUGGUCUCUUACUAGUGAAGUACACCACUGACAUUUAAAAUGAUACAUGAUCCCAAUGAGUCCAUUUAUUUCUUCUCUUAGCUUAUCAAUUACUUUUAGUAUUGCCCUUGAGUUUUUUAUUACAUUUAUAACCAAUCCAAGUUUUCUUCCAAAUAAUACACAUCAUUUUCCAUGAGUCGUGAGUGAAGGUUCCGUAUUACCGAGGAUUUACAGUUGCUCCUUGCUGUGACAUUUCUGUGUUCAUUUAGCAUACCUGUAAGCUGUGAUCAUCAAAUGUUUUGUUAUUUUUUGAAAUAAACUGUUAUCUAUUAGGUCA